UCCGGUGGCCAUAGCGGCGGGGAAACACCCGUUCCCAUUCCGAACACGUAUAGUGAAGACCGCCAGCGCCGAUGGUACUUGGGGGGCAACCUCCUGGGAGAGUAGGACGUCGCCGGAU
rnacentral:rRNA from 1 species